CCAGACUCCUACGGGAGGCAGCAGUGAGGAAUAUUGGUCAAUGGGCGAGAGCCUGAACCAGCCAAGUCGCGUGAGGGAAGACGGUCCUAUGGAUUGUAAACCUCUUUUGCCGGGGAGCAAAAAGCGGUACGUGUACCGCAUCGAGAGUACCCGGAGAAAAAGCAUCGGCUAACUCCGUGCCAGCAGCCGCGGUAAUACGGAGGAUGCGAGCGUUAUCCGGAUUUAUUGGGUUUAAAGGGUGCGCAGGCGGAACCACAGGUGAGGGAUAAAUUGGGGGGCCUCACCCUCUCCCCGCCGUUGAAACUGCGUUCCUUGAGUGGGCGAGAAGUACGCGGAAUGCGUGGUGUAGCGGUGAAAUGCAUAGAUAUCACGCAGAACUCCGAUUGCGAAGGCAGCGUACCGGCGCCCAACUGACGCUCAUGCACGAAAGCGUGGGUAUCGAACAGGAUUAGAUACCCCAGUA
rnacentral:rRNA from 1 species